AGAGUUUGAUUCUGGCUCAGGAUGAACGCUAGCGGCAGGCCUAAUACAUGCAAGUCGAACGGUAAACGCCCUUCGGGGGUGUGAGAGUGGCGCACGGGUGCGUAACGCGUAUGCAACCCACCCGCUGCCGGGGGAUAGCCCGGAGAAAUCCGAAUUAAUACCCCAUGAGGAGGAGAUGAGGCAUCUCAUCUUUUUCAAAACUUCGGUGGCGGCGGACGGGCAUGCGUGCCAUUAGAUAGUUGGCGGGGUGACGGCCCACCAAGUCGACGAUGGCUAGGGGAUCUGAGAGGACGGUCCCCCACACUGGUACUGAGACACGGACCAGACUCCUACGGGAGGCAGCAGUAAGGGAUAUUGGUCAAUGGGGGGAACCCUGAACCAGCCCAUGCCGCGUGAGGGAAUAAGGCCCUACGGGUCGUAAACCUCUUUUGCCGGGGGAUAAGGACACCUACGUGUAGGUGUUUGAAGGUACCCGGAGAAUAAGCAUCGGCUAACUCCGUGCCAGCAGCCGC
rnacentral:rRNA from 1 species